rnacentral:hammerhead_ribozyme from 1 species
AUCCAGCUGAUGAGUCCCAAAUAGGACGAAACAUGAGCUAGCCAUCCUUCAU